rnacentral:tRNA from 1 species
UCCCCUGUAGCUCAGUUGGCAGAGCGUCCGACUGUUAAUCGGAUGGCCCGAGGUUCGAGUCCUCGUGGGGGAG